rnacentral:rRNA from 1 species
UACGUAGGGGCUAGCGUUGUCCGGAUUUAUUGGGCGUAAAGAGCUCGUAGGUGGUUCGGUAAGUCGGAUGUGAAAUCUCCAGGCUCAACCUGGAGGGGUCAUUCGAUACUGCCGUGACUAGAGUUCGGUAGAGGAGUGUGGAAUUCCUGGUGGAGCGGUGAAAUGCGCAGAGAUCAGGAGGAACACCCGUAGCGAAGGCGGCACUCUGGGCCGAUACUGACACUGAGGAGCGAAAAGCGUGGGGAGCGAACAGG